rnacentral:rRNA from 1 species
CGGACGGGUGAGUAAUGUCUGGGAAACUGCCUGAUGGAGGGGGAUAACUACUGGAAACGGUAGCUAAUACCGCAUAAUGUCGCAAGACCAAAGUGGGGGACCUUCGGGCCUCAUGCCAUCAGAUGUGCCCAGAUGGGAUUAGCUAGUAGGUGGGGUAACGGCUCACCUAGGCGACGAUCCCUAGCUGGUCUGAGAGGAUGACCAGCCACACUGGAACUGAGACACGGUCCAGACUCCUACGGGAGGCAGCAGUGGGGAAUAUUGCACAAUGGGCGCAAGCCUGAUGCAGCCAUGCCGCGUGUGUGAAGAAGGCCUUCGGGUUGUAAAGCACUUUCAGCGGGGAGGAAGGCGAUAAGGUUAAUAACCUUGUCGAUUGACGUUACCCGCAGAAGAAGCACCGGCUAACUCCGUGCCAGCAGCCGCGGUAAUACGGAGGGUGCAAGCGUU